AUGUAAAGAGCUGUACUUUGUCCUGAAUGAAGAGUUAUGUUUGGGACAAAUCCAACCCAUUACGGAGUACCACUCGCCAUAUUUUCAAGCAUGGUUGGUGGCUUCAGGUUCUGGGUAUGCUUGUCAUUGGCAAGGACAAGUUUUUUUUUUUUUUUAGGAAACAGAGCUAUAAGCACAGGCAAAAUCCUAGAGGAAUCCCUGGUUGUCUGCUUUCCAACAAACACUGGGAGACAAUUUCACCUUUCAGCAGGACAAUAACCUAAAACAUGGCCAACUAUACACGAGUUGCUUACCAAGAUGAUGAAUGUUCCUGAGGGGCCUAGUUUGACUUAAUGCAGCUUGAAAAAGUUUAGCAAUGAUCAGCAACCAACUUGAGAGCUUGAAGCUUUUUUUUUUUUUUUACAGAAUAAUGGGCAAAUAUUGUACAAUCCAGGUGUGCAAAUCUUUUAGAGACUUUCCCCAGAAAGACAGAUGUAAUCACUGCCAAAGGUGAUUCUAAUGUGUAUUGACUCGGGGUUAAAUACUUACCUAAUCAAGAUACUGUAUAUUUGUUUACUUUUUCAUGUGGAGUAAGUCGUGACCCCUUUCUGAAAGGACUGUACUGCUCAUGUUCUUGUGGAAAGAUACUGUUUUCAUACCAUCUUCACUUCAGCUGCUGUGAGGGAUGAUCUCUCCGGUUUGUUUUACCCAGGGUAGGUUUCCAGUUGGCCUUAACCCAGGGUAGGUUUCCAGUUGGCCUUAACCCAGGGUAGGUUUCCAGUUGGCCUUAACCUAGGGUAGGUUUUUUGUGUGGCCUUAACCCAGGGUAGGUUUCCAGUUGGCCUUAACCCAGGGUAGGUUUCCAGUUGGCCUUAACCUAGGGUAGGUUUUUUUGUGUGGCCUUAACCCAGGGUAGGUUUCCAGUUGGCCUUAACCUAGGGUAGGUUUUUUUGUGUGGCCUUAACCCAGGGUAGGUUUCCAGUUGGCCUUAACCUAGGGUAGGUUUUUUGUGUGGCCUUAACCCAGGGUAGGUUUCCAGUUGGCCUUAACCUAGGGUAGGUUUUUUAGUUAGCCUUAACCCAGGGUACGUUUCCAGUUGGCCUUAACCCUCACAGUUGGACCUUUUGAGUACCUGUUACCCUCACACCACCUGCUAGUGUUUGAUCAUCUGUACUCUUGUCUAGGUACUGGCUCCAAUGCCGGUACGUGUUGAACCUCUUAGCUUUUAGCCUACUGCUCUUUUACCACCCAAAUGGUGCCUGUACCACAGACGCUGUCACAUGCUAAAUAAAGUACUUGUAGAAUAAA